UACGUAGGGGGCAAGCGUUGUCCGGAAUCAUUGGGCGUAAAGAGCGUGUAGGCGGCCCGAUAAGUCCGCUGUGAAAGUCCAGGGCUCAACCCUGGAAUGCCGGUGGAUACUGUCGGGCUCGAAUCCGGAAGAGGUGAGUGGAAUUCCUGGUGUAGCGGUGAAAUGCGUAGAUAUCAGGAGGAACACCGGUGGCGAAGGCGGCUACCUGGACAGAAACUGACGCUGAGGCACGAAAGCUAGGGGAGCAAACAGG
rnacentral:rRNA from 1 species